rnacentral:rRNA from 1 species
UACAGAGGUGGCAAGCGUUGUUCGGAAUUACUGGGCGUAAAGGGCGCGUAGGCGGCCUUCUAAGUCAGACGUGAAAUCCCCCGGCUUAACCGGGGAACUGCGUCUGAUACUGGAUGGCUUGAGUUUGGGAGAGGGAUGCGGAAUUCCAGGUGUAGCGGUGAAAUGCGUAGAUAUCGUAAGGAAGACCAGUGGCGAAGGCGGGUCUCUGGACAGUUCCUGACGCUGAGGCACGAAGGUCAGGGGAGCAAACGGG